rnacentral:rRNA from 1 species
ACUUGUUAAAAAUAUGCCUGGGGGUUUGAGAAGGGGUGCGCGAGCCCCCCAACACACUCCCCCAGCCCCCUCGGGAUUUGGCUUGCGUUCCCCUAGCGGGGACGCGGCCAAGCUCCCGACAACGAACCCCGGCGCUGUCUGCGCCAAGGAACCAUAACUGAAGGGCUGGCCUCCCGGUGUCCCGUUCGCGGCGUGCACGGGAGGCAUUUGCAUCUUUUGAAUCUAAAACGACUCUCGGCAACGGAUAUCUCGGCUCUCGCAUCGAUGAAGAACGUAGCGAAAUGCGAUACUUGGUGUGAAUUGCAGAAUCCCGUGAACCAUCGAGUUUUUGAACGCAAGUUGCGCCCAAAGCCAUUAGGCUAAGGGCACGUCUGCCUGGGCGUCACGCAUCCCGUCGCCACCAACCCCAAUGCCCAGUCGGAUAUUGCGGGAGUUGGGGGCGGAAAUUGGCCUCCCGUUCACGAACGUGCGCGGUUGGCCCAAAAAAUGAGUUCUUGACGAUGGACGUCACGACAAGUGGUGGUUGAAAGACCUCUUGCGUCAUGUCGUGAGGCACCAAGUCUGUAGCGAGCUCUGACCGCGACCCUGUGCACCCUUCUUCACGG